AUGGCCGACUGGGUCGGAUCGUGCUCUGCGGGCCGCAAAGCCCGGCGUCCCCGGGCCCCCCGAGCCGUCGCAGUUGUAGGUACCAAGCGGACAAGUGCCUUGAACCAAGAAGAUGCUUCUCAAAGGAAAGCAGAACUAGAAGCAGCUGUCAGAAAGAAGAUUGAGUUUGAGAGAAAAGCUCUACAUAUUGUGGAACAACUUUUAGAAGAGAAUAUUUCUGAAGAAUUCCUAAGGGAGUGUGGGAAAUUCAUCACACCUGCUCACUAUAAUGAUGUCGUGGAUGAGCGUUCUAUUAUCAAACUCUGUGGCUAUCCUUUAUGUCAGAACAAGCUAGGAAUUGUACCAAAACAGAAAUACAAAAUUUCUACCAAAGCUAAUAAAGUCUAUGAUAUUACUGAAAGAAAGUGUUUUUGCAGCAAUUUUUGUUAUAAAGCAUCUAAAUUUUUUGAAGCACAAAUUCCUAAAAGUCCAGUGUGGGUUCGCGAGGAAGAAAGACAUCCUGAUUUUCAGCUGCUACAGGAAGGACAAAGUGGUCCUUCUGGAGAAGAAAUACAGUUAUGCAGCAAAGCCAUUAAAACAUCAGAUAUUGACAAUCCUGGCCAUUUUGAGAAGCAUUAUGAAUCUAGUUCUUCUAGCACUCAUAGUGAUAGUAGCAGUGAUAAUGAGCAAGACUUUGUUUCCUCCAUUCUACCAGGAAACAGACCAAAUGCAACGAGUAUAAGGCCACAGCUGCACAAAAAAAGCAUGAUGAAAAAGAAAGCUGGUCAAAAAGUUAACUCUCAACGUGAAAGCAAAGAGCAAACAGUAGUAGAUGUCAUUGAGCAGUUAGGCAAUUGCAGAUUAGAUAAUCAGGAGAAAGCUACGGCUUGUGAACUUCCUUUGCAGAAAGCAAAUACACAGAUUUCUUCAAAUAGUUCUCUGCAAGAAAAAUUAGAAGCUUCAGAAAUUUCUGAUAUUAAAUACAGUAGUUCAAAAGUAACUCUUGUAGGCAUAAGUAAGAAAAGUGCUGAGCAUUUUAAGAGGAAAUUUGCCAAAUCAAACCAAGUUUCUGGGUCAGCUUCCAGUUCAUUGCAGGUAUGCCCUGAAAUUGCAAAGGCAAACUUACUUAAAGCCCUGAAGGAGACUUUGAUUGAGUGGAAGACAGAAGAAACUUUGAGGUUUUUGUAUGGCCAGAAUUAUGCAUCUGUAUGUCUAAAAUCCUCCUCAACCCCUCUGGUUAAAGAAGAACUUGAUGAAGAUGAUACAAACUCUGACCCAUAUAGUCAUUCCCCUGCCUUGCAGGAGUUGAACAGCUUGGAUGAGUCUUUACCAUUUAGAGCCUCAGAUACAGCCAUUAAACCACUGCCAAGUUAUGAGAACUUGAAAAAAGAAACUGAAACAUUAAAUUUAAGGAUCAGGGAGUUUUAUAGAGGACGAUAUGUUUUGAAUGAAGAAACCACCAAAUCACAAGACUCAGAAGAGCAUGAUCCCACCUUUCCACUGAUAGAUUCAAGUUCUCAGAACCAGAUCAGAAAACGCAUCGUACUUGAAAAAUUGAAUAAAGUAUUGCCUGGACUUUUGGGACCUCUUCAGAUUACAUUAGGAGAUAUUUACACACAACUUAAAAAUCUUGUCCAGACUUUCAGAUUAACAAAUAGAAAUAUUAUACAUAAACCUGCAGAGUGGACCUUAAUUGCUUUGGUGUUGCUGUCAAUACUGACCUCAACUCUUGGCAUUCAGAAGCUUUCUCAGGAAAAUGUGAUGUCUACACAGUUCAUGACCACCCUGCUUGAAGAAUUGCAUUUAAAAAAUGAAGACCUUGAAAGUUUAACCAUCAUAUUUAGAACCAGCUGUUAACCAGAAUGGGUCAUCUGAGGAGCACUUUAAAAUCUGCCCAGAAGAUGAAAACCUGUGCAUGAUUUACCACAAGCCAGAAGUUCCACACCUAAUGAACAGGCAAAACCCAGCCCAUUGUCAACAGAGAAAAAUCUAUCUCAAACACAAAAGAUUUUAAAUCAAAAUGGAUGUUAGAUGAGCAGGAUUCCUAGUAUUGCUGGGCAGCCAGGGCUGUCUCCAACAGCUGACAAGAUGAUUAUUUACUGUGUCAGCAAUAAACUUUAAAUUAUCAAUAUAUACUGAAGAUAAGAUCCAGCUUCUUAAUCAAUUCAACAAACAUUAGUUGAAGACUCAGGAUGUAUUGGACCUGAGCCAAGCUGCUCAAAAAACACUUGCCCUUUGAGUCUAAAUUAUAAGGGGUGAUCUUGAUUGACUGAAAGUUUUUUCACCCUUUGCUAUCACCACUUCUAUCCCUGGGGGUAACCAUGGUUAAUAAUUUGGAGUAUAUGCCUAAAAACCUUUUUCAGUGCACACCAUAUAUUCUUUUUGACAAACAUAGUUUUAAAAAUUACUUUCUAAAUUCCACACUAGCAUCUUUCUAUGUUAGUAUAGGAAGAACUACCUUUUGUUUGAAGUUACAAAAUUGUUUGAAGUUACAAAGUAGUUCAAAGUAAAGGUACUCCAUUAUUUAUUUAUUUAGCCAUUUUAUCACUGAUGUAUAUUUAAACUGCCUACCAUGUUUUUUGCACAACUACAAAAAUGACACAACAAAAAUCCUUGAAUAUUUAUCCUUGUAAGCUCCUGCAAGUAUUUCUGAAGCAUGAAUACCUAAAAGUGAAAUUACUAGAUCAUGUCAUACACUUUGAAUUUAUGCUACUUAACUGUAUUUUAUAAUCCAUGUGUGCUACCUUAAAUCUUUCCUGAAACAAUGUGUUUAUGUGUUUAUACACAGAGUGGGGAUUUUACUUUCAAAAGACACAAAACUGAAAGAGGGAACUUUGUCUUUUUAGGAAGCCCACAGAACUGGAAGUGGGUCAGGAAUGUUUGGUGGAGGCAGGGUAGACUGAGGGAUUUUAUUCUUUGUGUUGCUCAAUCUCCUUUUAACCUUUUUUCUUAUUUAGACAAUAGAAAACGAUUUUGGACAACUGCCUAUAGCUUGUACCAACAGAUAAAAAGACAUUCUUACUGGUGAAGCUGCCCACCAACAAAAUGGAGAUCCCCUAGAAGCUUCCCACUAUAGGAACUGUCCAAGCUGAGGUGAAAUAGCCCAUAAGAGAGGCCACACAUUGUGCUGGUUAAAAACACAGACCCAGGAGUCAGGAUGUCUAGAUUUGAGUCCUGGUUCUGAUACUUAGCUGAAAGACAUUGGGCACAUUACUUAAUCCUUUUAUGCCCCAGUUUCUUCAUCAGUAAAACAGGAAUAAUAACAGUACCUUCCUGAUAGAGUUGUUAUGCAUCAUUCAUUCUCUCCAUGUUUAAAAAUAUCUUUCAAAAGAAAGGAGGAGGAAAUUCACUUUCUAAGAUUAUAUACCUUAUAUCAGUUUUUUAAAAAUCCCCAUAGAAGUUAAGUCACCCAAGAUGGGGUUGGGAGAGAAAAGGUCUUGAGGGUAAGGCACUGAUGAAGAAUUCUGGCUCCCAAUCCCUCAGAAGUGGGUGAAUUCCAGAGUUGUUUGGAGAGCAACAUCAUAACAAGGAAACCAGCAAAACACAGGACUUGGAGAGACCAUCGUGAGAGAAUAUUCAAAGCAAUUUUAGGAAAUUCUCUGGAGGGAAACAGCAAGUUAAGCAUCCUAUCUCAUCACGGUGAAGUGGAAAGAAAACCGGAUGGCAGUCAGAGAAUGGAGUUUUGGUUCUAAAUCUAACACUUGUGCCACCUUGGUCAACUAACUUCACCUGUCUGAGCCUCAUUUUCUUAAAACAAAAUUACUCUGUACCUUACUCUCUUCUGCUGUCAAAAUCUUUGAUUCUCGCAAUCAUUAACCAAAUUUAGGAGACAUUUGAUAGUCACGGCCCUCACAUUAAGGCAAAUGAAAUGCUGUAGUAUAUAGUCUUUUCAUUAAGGAGGUCAGACAAGGAAAUCCUGGAAGGCUGAGGUGUGGAAUUGGGUGCUCACUGAGGGAUGUUCUCUAGGGAAUAAUAUGGCUUAGUUGCCUUUCAAAGUCACAGAACCAUAGACUGCCAAAACUGGAAUGUAUCCAGUCUCAUCUUCUCAUUCUGCAGAUAACAGGAGGCUCAGAAAAGUUCAGUGACCUGGCCAAGGUCAUUUAGCAAUAUGGCAGAGCGAAGAUUAGACCUCAACCCUCUUAACAGGUCAGAGUUUUUCCCACUAUCCCUGCUGUCUGUAAAUGUGAGGCCACAAGGGCCUAGCACAUAGUAAGUAUUCACUUAGAUAUGAUUUUUAGUUAAACAGUAUGUUGCACAUAAGCAGGGCUGGGGCUAAGGUAAGGCAAAGGAGGUACUUUGUCACUUAAAUUGUCACUUAAAUUGUCAGGUGCCAAUUUAAAGGGGGAACACAAAAAACUCAGCAUUCAAAACAUAAUAUUUUAAUGCACUAUCUAAAAAAUUAAAAAUCCAUGAACAAAACACACAAUAUCAAAAUUCUAAAGACAGACAGAAUUGGACUCUGCACUUGUGCAAACCUGCCUCACCCAUCUCAUCCAACUGGAACUCUGGUUACAAUAAAAUUUUGUUUACAAAAGAAGGUGACUAGCCACAGCUAUAGUUUGCACAUUUGUUUAUAAUACUGCAUUAAAACAUUAUCUUGAUUUCUGAUCUUUUUGAUGUUCCCUUAAAUUUUGCACUUAUGGGGAAUGCCUCACUCUUUACACCCUAGUGUUGCCCCUGGGCAAGACAAGGAAUAUCCCUAUCCUCAGGUCCAGGGCAUACUAUACCUAAAAACCCAAGGUUUCCUGGCCUGGGGUGGAAGGCUCCCGCAAGGGAAUCUGGGAGAAGGAUGGGUUUUGAGGAUACACGAAUUUCCUCAGAUUAUAGUCAAGAUGUUGUGGCCACAAACCUUUCCCUGGGGAAAAGAUUUUUUUCCAUUUAAUUGGUUUAUUUGUUGUUAAUAAAUUGGCAACACAUGAAGUGAGGGUGUGCUCCCAGGCAGGCUCCUGGGUGCAGCGAGUCUCAGGACAGAGACACUACCUUGAGGCGUGGGCAGGACACAACCUGGCACCGCCAACCUGUGCCACAGGGAUGGAAGGAAAAGUCCCCCCACACACACACUUCUGGGGGAACCUCCUUGGGAUGAACACAGUGGAAACCCAGCAAACAGGCCUUAGUUUUCAUAGUCAUAAAAGGACCCCCAAAAGAUUAAGAAACCCUGCCACAGAAUGAGGGAAGAAGUCUGCUUCUGAUGUACAUCCACCCUACUCUCCUUAUCUUCCUGACUCCUCAUUUCUCCUUCAUUAUUCCUCCUGCAUUAAAUGCACCCCUUUGAGAAAAAAAGAUUUUCUCACCAAAGUGCAAAUGACUUGGUAAGACACAAAUCCCUAUUUGUUCAUUUCACUCAAAAGCCGAAUAGCACUGAAACAUGUAAUAUUAUCAUAUGUGAAAUAGAUCGCCAGUCCAGGUUUGACG